rnacentral:rRNA from 1 species
UACGUAGGUGGCAAGCGUUGUCCGGAUUUACUGGGUGUAAAGGGCGUGUAGCCGGGCUGACAAGUCAGAUGUGAAAUCCGGGGGCUCAACCCCCGAACUGCAUUUGAAACUGUUGGUCUUGAGUAUCGGAGAGGCAGGCGGAAUUCCUAGUGCAGCGGUGAAAUGCGUAGAUAUUAGGAGGAACACCAGUGGCGAAGGCGGCCUGCUGGACGACAACUGACGGUGAGGCGCGAAAGCGUGGGGAGCAAACAGG